ACAUCUCUCUUUCAAGGA
rnacentral:snRNA from 1 species